rnacentral:rRNA from 1 species
GGGGGAUAUUGCACAAUGGGGGAAACCCUGAUGCAGCGACGCCGCGUGGAGGAAGAAGGUUUUCGGAUUGUAAACUCCUGUCGUUAGGGACGAUAAUGACGGUACCUAACAAGAAAGCACCGGCUAACUACGUGCCAGCAGCCGCGGUAAAACGUAGGGUGCAAGCGUUGUCCGGAUUUACUGGGUGUAAAGGGAGCGCAGGCGGACCGGCAAGUUGGAAGUGAAAACUAUGGGCUCAACCCAUAAAUUGCUUUCAAAACUGCUGGCCUUGAGUAGUGCAGAGGUAGGUGGAAUUCCCGGUGUAGCGGUGGAAUGCGUAGAUAUCGGGAGGAACACCAGUGGCGAAGGCGACCUACUGGGCACCAACUGACGCUGAGGCUCGAAAGCAUGGGUAGCAAACAGGAUUAGAUACCCUGGUAGUCCAUGCCGUAAACGAUGAUUACUAGGUGUUGGAGGAUUGACCCCUUCAGUGCCGCAGUUAACACAAUAAGUAAUCCACCUGGGGAGUACGACCGCAAGGUUGAAACUCAAAGGAAUUGACGGGGGCCCGCACAAGCAGUGGAGUAUGUGGUUUAAUUCGAAGCAACGCGAAGAACCUUACCAGGUCUUGACAUCCGAUGCAUAGCUUAGAGAUAAGUGAAGUCCUUCGGGACAUCGAGACAGGUGGUGCAUGGUUGUCGUCAGCUCGUGUCGUGAGAUGUUGGGUUAAGUCCCGCAACGAGCGCAACCCUUAUUGCCAGUUACUACGCAAGAGGACUCUGGCGAGACUGCCGUUGACAAAACGGAGGAAGGUGGGGAUGACGUCAAAUCAUCAUGCCCUUUAUGACCUGGGCUACACACGUACUACAAUGGCGUUUAACAAAGAGAAGCAAGACCGCGAGGUGGAGCAAAACUCAAAAACAACGUCUCAGUUCAGAUUGCAGGCUGCAACUCGCCUGCAUGAAGUCGGAAUUGCUAGUAAUCGCGGAUCAGCAUGCCGCGGUGAAUACGUUCCCG